rfam:Legionella quinlivanii strain CDC#1442-ATS-E Lqui_ctg010, whole genome shotgun sequence.
CAUUGGUCCCCACGCGACGAUAGAUUAUGAACCCCGUCAGGCCCGGAAGGGAGCAGCGGUAGUAAUUGAUUCGGGCGCCGAGGUGUGGCUUCUGAAG